rnacentral:rRNA from 1 species
UCUAGAGGGGACUGCCGGCGACAAGUCGGAGGAAGUGGGGAUGACGUCAAAUCAUCAUGCCCUUAUGACCUGGGCUACACACGUGCUACAAUGGGCGGUACAAAGGGCUGCGAACCCGCGAGGGGGAGCGAAUCCCAAAAAGCCGCUCUCAGUUCGGAUUGCAGGCUGCAACUCGCCUGCAUGAAGCCGGAAUCGCUAGUAAUCGCGGAUCAGCAUGCCGCGGUGAAUACGUUCCCGGGCCUU